rnacentral:tRNA from 1 species
CGGGGUGUGGCGCAGUUGAUAGCGCGCUCGGUUUGGGACCGAGAGGUCGCCGGUUUGAGUCCGGCCACCCCGACCA